UACGGAGGAUCCAAGCGUUAUCCGGAAUUACUGGGCGUAAAGAGUUGCGUAGGUGGCAGAGUAAGUAGAUAGUGAAAUCACACGGCUCAACCGUGUACACAUUAUCUAAACUACUCAGCUUGAAGACGAGAGAGGUAGAUGGAAUUUCUAGUGUAGGAGUGAAAUCCGUAGAUAUUAGAAGGAACACCGAUGGCGUAAGCAGUCUACUGGCUCGUUCUUGACACUAAGGCACGAAAGCGUGGGGAGCAAAUGGG
rnacentral:rRNA from 1 species